CAAAAACAUGGCGUUUUGAUUAUAAUUUAAGGUCUGGCCUGCCCAAUGAGUAGUUGAAUGGCCGCGGUAUUUUGACCGUGCAAAGGUAGCAUAAUCAUUAGUUUUUUAAUUGAAAGCUGGAAUGAAUGGUCGGACGAGAAAAUAACUGUCUCAGUAUAAUUUUGUUAGAAUUUUAUUUUUAAGUUAAAAAGCUUAAAUAUGUUUAAAAGACGAGAAGACCCUAUAGAGUUUUAUACAUGUAUAUUUAUUGGUUUUAUAGUAUUUUGAUGCUAAUAUUUAGUAACGUAUUUUGUUGGGGUGACAGAAAAAUUGACUAAACUUUUUCUAAAAUUGAACAUUUAUUUAUGAUUGUUUGAUCCAUUAUUUAUGAUUAUAAGAUUAAAUUACCUUAGGGAUAACAGCGUAAUUUUUUUUGAGAGUUCUUAUCGAUAAAAGAGUUUGCGACCUCGAU
rnacentral:rRNA from 1 species